UACGUAGGGCGCAAGCGUUGUCCGGAAUUAUUGGGCGUAAAGAGCUCGUAGGCGGUCUGUCGCGUCCGUUGUGAAAACCCGAGGCUCAACCUCGGGCCUGCAGUGGGUACGGGCAGACUAGAGUGCGGUAGGGGAGAAUGGAAUUCCUGGUGUAGCGGUGGAAUGCGCAGAUAUCAGGAGGAACACCGAUGGCGAAGGCAGUUCUCUGGGCCGUAACUGACGCUGAGGAGCGAAAGCGUGGGGAGCGAACAGG
rnacentral:rRNA from 1 species